AACCAAAGGGGGCGAGCGUAAGCAGCUCUCACCGAAGGAGGAGCCUGCGUCCGAUUAGCUAGUUGGUGGGGUAAUGGCCUACCAAGGCGACGAUCGGUAGCCGGCCUGAGAGGGCGAUCGGCCACACUGGAACUGAGACACGGUCCAGACUCCUACGGGAGGCAGCAGUGGGGAAUAUUGCGCAAUGGGCGAAAGCCUGACGCAGCGACGCCGCGUGGGUGAUGAAGGCCUUCGGGUCGUAAAGCCCUGUCUGGUGGAACGAAACGCCUGGCGGCCAAUACCCGCUGGGUUUGACGGUACCACCGAAGGAAGCCCCGGCUAACUACGUGCCAGCAGCCGCGGUAAGACGUAGGGGGCGAGCGUUGUUCGGAUUUACUGGGCGUAAAGCGCGCGUAGGCGGCCAGAUAAGUCGGGUGUGAAAGCCCUCGGCUCAACCGAGGUUCCGCAUCCGAUACUGCUUGGCUGGAGUCUAGGAGAGGAGAGCGGAAUUCCCAGUGUAGCGGUGAAAUGCGUAGAUAUUGGGAGGAACACCCGUGGCGAAGGCGGCUCUCUGGACUAGUACUGACGCUGAGGCGCGAAAGCUAGGGGAGCGAACGGGAUUAGAUACCCCGGUAGUCCUAGCCGUAAACGAUGGGCACUAGGUGUGGGAGGUAUUGACCCCUUCCGCGCCGAAGCUAACGCAUUAAGUGCCCCGCCUGGGGAGUACGGCCGCAAGGCUAAAACUCAAAGGAAUUGACGGGGGCCCGCACAAGCGGUGGAGCAUGUGGUUCAAUUCGACGCAACGCGAAGAACCUUACCAGGGCUUGACAUCCCACGAACCUGCCUGAAAGGGCGGGGUGCCCGCAAGGGAGCGCGGAGA
rnacentral:rRNA from 1 species